rnacentral:sRNA from 1 species
UGAGUAUGACAAAGCAAUGGCACCACAGCAGGGACUACUAGACAAAAUAAAAGAUGAACCUGACAAUGCUCAAGAGUAUAGUCAUGGCCAACAGCAAAAAACUCAAGAGGGGGAACUGAAAAUUAGUGCUGUGUUUUCAGUCAGUGGCAGCCCUCUUGCUCCACAGUUGACUACUGGCUUUCAGCCCUCACUGGCGUCAUCUGGCAUGAAUAAAAUGCUUCCUUCAGUUCCAGCCACAGCUGUUCGAGUUUCCUGUUCUGGUUGUAAAAAAAUCCUCCAGAAGGGGCAAACUGCUUAUCAGAGGAAAGGGUCUACUCAGCUAUUCUGCUCCACACUGUGCCUCACUGGAUAUACAGUUCCACCUGCCCGCCCACCGCCUCCUCUCACCAAGAAAACUUGUUCAAGUUGCUCAAAGUAUAGCAGAAUUCUAAAUUAUCUUUUUUGUUUCUUUCCUUUCUCUUAACAUACUUUGUUCUUAGCUCAUGUAUUACAUUUGAUAUUCUACAUUUAUUCCUUUUUUUUUUUUUUGAGAAAUACCACAUUAUUUUCUGUCUGCUUUCAGUUGUUGCUUUUCAGUCUUCCAGGUGCUAGGUGCUCAGCUUGUUUUUUAGCUUUCAAUAAUGUUACUUUUA